GACGAACGCUGGCGGCGUGCCUAAUACAUGCAAGUUGAGCGCUGAAGGUUGGUCCUUGUACCAACUGGAUGAGCAGCGAACGGGUGAGUAACGCGUGGGGAAUCUGCCUUUGAGCGGGGGACAACAUUUGGAAACGAAUGCUAAUACCGCAUAAAAACUUUAAACACAAGUUUUAAGUUUGAAAGAUGCAAUUGCAUCACUCAAAGAUGAUCCCGCGUUGUAUUAGCUAGUUGGUGAGGUAAAGGCUCACCAAGGCGAUGAUACAUAGCCGACCUGAGAGGGUGGACGGCCACAUUGGGACUGGGACACGGCCCAAACUCCUACGGGAGGCAGCAGUAGGGAAUCUUCGGCAAUGGACGAAAGUCUGACCGAGCAACGCCGCGUGAGUGAAGAAGGUUUUCGGAUCGUAAAACUCUGUUGGUAGAGAAGAACGUUGGUGAGAGUGGAAAGCUCAUCAAGUGACGGUAACUACCCAGAAAGGGACGGCUAACUACGUG
rnacentral:rRNA from 1 species